AUGAGUUCACACCUGCAUUUGUUCCCGCUUCUCUGCAACUCAGACACAGGCUGUUCUAUACUUUCCCGUUGGCCAGAGUGUCCUGGUGUUCCCGGGCCUGGGGGCUACGGGGGACCAGGGCGAGAGAGGUCAGAGCCCCGGCCCAGCAGCCCGCAGCUUCUCCCUGGCUCUGCAGAUGCCCCCUGGACCAGACAGGGCCAUGCACUGUGUUCCCAGCGCCCUCCAGCAGCUGAGCUGGCUCAGUGGGAAGCAAGCUGCUGUCUGGAACGAGGACCCAGGCAGCAGAAGUGUUCGGCAGCAGCAGCUCCCAUGGCCACAGCUGNNCCGCGGGUCCUGGGAUGGCCCAUGCGCCGCCCCUCAGGAUGCUGUGAGGGGCACAGGGCCCCAGGAGCUGACCCGGCAGCCCCCUCUCCCAUCCCCACUGGCAGUCGGGUCCAGGGGCCGGGAGCCGGGCAGCCAGUGUGGAUCCCCCCUCUGGUACACACUGAGUCCAGCCCCGUUUCUGCUCGCGUCCCCCGUGUGAGAGCCAGCAGCUCUGCCCGCCCCUACAGCAAUCCGUGGGAGCCCAGCCGUGGCCUCCAGGACAGGGCAGCACAGAGGCUCCAGGUCGCCAGGGCUCUGCAUUUCUGCCGGCCUCUCUCGCUGCCCACCGCCAGCCCCUGGCCCCACCAACUUCUCCACCCUGCGUCUGAGUCCAGAACGUCCAGCCACGCACACCCAUGCACACACACACUCGCACAUGCUCGCACACGCACCUUCGGACUCUACCAGAAUCCCCAGCCCCCUCGAGCCACGGGCGACUGCGUUUCUUCAGCACAGCUUUCAUAAAACCCACAGACCCACAGGAAGGCUUCCGCCACCCCGGGAGACCCAGCUCAUCAGGCUGAUCAAGCCAGACAGCGAACACGCAGCAUCUCGGGGCAGGAAGCAGGCAGUGCUGCGAUCCUUAAAUCGCUCAUGGGGAAGACGGCAAGGGGCCCGAGAGCAGGCCAGACGCGACUCCCUGCGCUGAGGGUCUCGGCGUCCCCUCUAGGUCUCUGUGGGUCACCACAACCCAGAACGCCCUCAGGAAGACUCAGAAGCGGGGGUCAGACCAAGAGGAGCAGGUGACGCCGGCAGUGGUGAAGUCGCUGCCCGUCUCGGACCUGAGCUCCGCCUCCGAGCCCACACUCGUGGGGCGAGCUGCCACCUCCUGGGCCCCGGCCAGGUCCCAGUGGCCCUUGCAUCCCCACUGCACCCUGAUCAGCGCCACCCGGACCACUGCGACUCCCAAGCUCCUGCAGCGCCGACCCAGUGGCCUGACCUUCGCCUCACCUCACCCAGGUCGACUCGGCUCCCCAAGGCCUGCCAGCGUCUAGCGCAGCGUCUGUGUUCAGCGCUGACCCUGGCCUCCCUUGCUGGACGGCUCCAUCGGGAGGUGCCAGCGCCCUCCGCUGCCUCCCCUGGCCCGGGGCUCUCUGACCCGCUCCUGACGUCCCUCCCCCACCCCGCGUCCCUCCACACCCUCCCCAGUUCAUCUGACACUGUACAGAGUCGUGUGCCUGUUGACUGUCUCUCCCCAGGAGGAUGUAAGCUUCACAAGGCAGGUUCUUUCUCAUCCUUUUUUUUUUUUUUUNNNNNNNNNNCUUUUUUCCUUUUUUUUUUUUUUUUUUUUUUGCAGUACUGGAGGUUGAACCCAGGGGCACUGUACCCUGAGCUACAUCUCCAACCCCUUUUAUUUUUUAUUUUGAGAAAAGGGCUCUACAAGUUUCCCAGGCUGGGCUCAAAUGAACCCAAGAUCCUUCUGCCUCAGCCUCCUGAGUAGCUGGUACUGCUCACCCAGCUACUAGGCAGUUCUUUACUGUAUCAAUCACUCUACCCGGAGCAACCAAAGGUGCCUGGCAUGUAACAGGACUUGAUUUACUUUUGCUGAGUAAAUGCAGCCAAAUGUGAUUUGAUAUAGUUAGCGUCACACGUGGCGGGAGAUGAAAACCGGAUAAGUUACUGUCUCGUGCAAACUUUGGGAGCAACUGCAUCUUCCUGGCCUUGCUCGGUACACAUGGGACAAGGGGAGUCUCGGCGGUGGGGUCAGAGGAACAUCUGCGGGUCUGUCGUGCAUGGGGCCCUGGCCUUGGCUCCAGGAAUUCCAAGAUCCAUGAGGCCUGGAACUCGAACUCAGGGCCUUAGGCGAGAGGCUGCCCUGAGGCAGUGUGAGGUGUGGUGAAAGGGACAGGGCCAGCACCAGGGGCAGGGGCAUCAGAGCCCUGCAGGUGACUGGGGACCUGGAGGUGACCCUCGCGUCAGGUCCAGGAAGCAGAGUCAGAACCAGCCAGGCAGGGGUGGCUGGGAAAGCAGCUCCCGCAGAGCCGGGCCAGGCCAGUUCCUGCCUCCUGCCCCAGCAGGCUCUUCCUGCAUGCCUGCCCCGAAGGGCCUCGCCGUCCCUUUCAAAGCCCUCUGUUGACGUCCACGCCAAGGCCAGAUGCACUCCCCAUCAAGAUAAGCCGUCUCCAGUUCAAAGCCCGUCCUGACUAACUCUUUCCGUUCAGUAAAAAUAUGAAUCUUGCUUUUAUUUAAGCAGGUUUUUUGGCAAGAAAUGAACGCCGGUGGCUAAAAAUAAAUGCAAAUACACACACACUCAGAGAAGCUGGAAAGCUGAAGGUCAUUUCAGCCCAAGUUUCCAUUGCAGGGAACACUGUGCAGGCCAGGAGGACACGAGACUCCCCGCCUUCCCAGGCUCCCGAGCUGCCCCGUGCGGUCCUGCCGCCCCGGCCUGGAAAUGGGUCGGGCUCACUCCUGGGGACACAGGGCGACUUUCCCCCAGCCAGGCCAGGACACACUGGGUCACUGAGGUCUGCUGUGCAGGAGAUGCAGGGCCAGAGAGGGAGGGAGAGGACACAGGCCAGAAGCCAAAUGGCCUGGGGCCUGGAAACACCCAAAAGGAGCACAACAGACUGGGCACCCCAGGCCCACUUGCUCGCGUGUUCUAAGCGAUGACCUCAGUGUUAAAGUAUUAAAAGGGAAGAUGUAAGCGCCUUGCCUAGGCCUCUGCUCAGGUUGGGGUUAACGUGUUUAGGUUCUAAUCUGACCGCUGCUGCCGCCGGCCGGCUGUCUGUGCCACCUGGGCCGCCAGCAAUUGGGAGAUGACAUGGGUCACUGAGCCCGGGGCGGGUGGAGGCCCAGGGCUGGUGGUGCUGGGAUGCAGGCAGUGCACCCCAGGAGCAGGGACCCUGCUUCUGAGCAGGGGCAGCGCUGCUUUGCUGGUAGGAAGACCCUAACCCACCUGAAGCAUUAGCCGGCCAGGCGGCCGAGGGCAGAGGUGGGAAAGGGGUCCUGCCCACAGGGAUCCCGCUUCUGAGAAUACGCAGGCUGUUCUGACCAGUGAACAGAAGGAGGCCGUCUCCGUGCAGCUCCUCAGGCCCCACCUGCACACACCUGUCCUGUGCGGACCCGGCCUCGGCAAAGGUGACUCCUCCCCUGACCUGCCCUUCUCUCCUGGCGCGGCUGGAGCCUCUCCAGCGCCCCGGUCACAGAGGCAGGGCCCACCCGGACAGAGCCCCUUGCAGCGCCCGGACCGAGC
rnacentral:lncRNA from 1 species